GUUCCUUCGGGGACAUCCGAUAAAAUUGGAAUGAUACAGAGAAGAUUAGCAUGGCCCCUCCUGCGCAAGGAUGACAUACGUAAAUUGAAUUUUACAUUUUCAUU